UCCAUCACGGUUGCCGUUGUCAAGGGAUUCUUCAAGGAGAUGUCAAGGACGCCAUGGACAUGCAGCUCCUCAAGAUCAAUUAAGGAAUCAAUCUCAUGAUGGUUGAUGCUUGAUGCAGCGGAGGAUUGGGCCUCGCAUUAUUUUUUCCAGAAUUGGGUGUGGGUACUCUCUAAACUGGAUUGAGUGAGCUAAAUCUGUGCAUCAAAAUUGUAGUCUGUAGCUUUAUGUGUUACGUCUUAAGAUUGAACUUGAAGAUUGCUUUUGGGAGUAGUUUUAGUUGGUAGAUGUUUCAGGCUCCAAAUACGCACACAUUAUGUGCUUAAUGUGUGGCAUAAACAUGAUCAGUUUUAUGCUUAGAAACCAAACCACUGUCCACCCAUUUUAUUUCUUCAUGAGUAUUUUGUGUUGAAAUCAGAUCACCGUUCACCUUUUCU